CGGCGGACGGGUGAGUAACACGUGGGUAAUUUUCCUCAAGGUACGGAACAACNCAGGGAAACUUGGGCUAAUACCGUAUGAUGCAGAGAUGCCAAAGAUUUAUCGCCUUGGGAUAAGCCCGCGUCAGAUUAGGUAGUUGGUGGGGUAAUGGCCUACCAAGCCUGUGAUCUGUAGCUGGUCUGAGAGGACGAUCAGCCACAUUGGGACUGAGACACGGCCCAAACUCCUACGGGAGGCAGCAGGUGGGGAAUCUUGCGCAAUGGACGAAAGUCUGACGCAGCCAUGCCGCGUGAAUGAUGAAGGUCUUAGGAUUGUAAAGUUCUUUAGCCUGUGACGAUGAUGACGGUAACAGGAGAAUAAGCCCCGGCUAACUUCGUG
rnacentral:rRNA from 1 species